rnacentral:tRNA from 1 species
GCAUCCAUAGCUCAGAGGAUAGAGCUGCAGUUUCCUAAACUGUGAGUCGGAGGUUCGAAUCCUCUUGGAUGCGCCA